AGCAUCGAGCCGUCUGUGUCGCAGGUACACACCCGCACCAGCACCGUGCCCGUGCUGCUUCGGAUCGGGUAGCCGCCGUCCUCCACCACUACCGGCACCAGUUAGCCAUGAGACACUGACAUGCAGCGUUUCACUGGGAGUGGCUCUUUAUAAGCAUGAAAGAAGAAGAUCAAGACAAAUGUCUCGUAUUCCAAAGCAAGUUCUGGAGGAAACUCAUUGACAUCCAACACCUUGAUUGUGACAGUAACUUUGCUGGACAGCAGAGGGUUGUCUGAAAGAUCAA